rnacentral:rRNA from 1 species
UACGAAGGGGGCUAGCGUUGCUCGGAAUCACUGGGCGUAAAGGGUGCGUAGGCGGGUCUUUUAAGUCAGGGGUGAAAUCCUGGGAGCUCAACUCCAGAACUGCCUUUGAUACUGAAGAUCUUGAGUUCGGGAGAGGUGAGUGGAACUGCGAGUGUAGAGGUGAAAUUCGUAGAUAUUCGCAAGAACACCAGUGGCGAAGGCGGCUCACUGGCCCGGUACUGACGCUGAGGUGCGAAAGCGUGGGGAGCAAACAGGG